CAAGCGUGUUCGCUGCCGAAGUUGCCCAUCUAGAGACGACCACAAGACGAACACAGCAUGUUUGCGAUGCAAACGGUCCCGUGUUCCUACAGCAUCAAACUGUCUUGUGUCCGAAGUGUGUACCUCGUACGUAGGUAGCAAAUUUGGCCGUCGCACUUGUCGUGGGUGGGGCCCCAUUUACUGUACAUAUCCAUUAGGUAGCAAAUUUGGCCGUCGCACUUGUCGUGGGUGGGGGCCCAUUUACUGUAUAUAUCAAUUAGAUUUUGACCUCUAUGGGUCCGACACCUUUUCUGGCUGUGGAGACUUGUAAAUUGUAGUUUUAGGAAGGAUUCCUCAAUUUAUUUUCUUAUAUAGGUUAUUUUGUAUUUUUUAUAAA